AAGAGCGCACAGUCUCUGAUGCCCUCACGAUGAGGCCGGCCGCACCCGCAGCCGUCUCCCGAUGCCCACCCAUCCCCCCCCGUGCCUCCUCCAGUCCCUCCGCCACUGCCUCGCCGUCGGCCACCUUGACCUCGCCGUCGAUACCCUCCCCCUCCUCGCUCGUUGCGGCCUCCGCCCUGACUCCGCCACCCUUGCUCUCCUCCUCCGCUUGUGCCUCCGGUCCCCCGCCGCCCUUCCCUUAGCUGGCCGUGUCCACCUCUUCCUUCGCCUCUCCGGCCUCCUCUGUGCUGCCCCCACCCCUCCUCUCGCCAAUCACCUACUCGCCUUUCACUUCCUCCGCGGCCGCCCUGACGACGCUCGCCGCCUCUUCCGCCGGAUGGCCACCCCCAACCUCUUCUCCUUCAACACCAUGCUCGCAGGAUACGCCCGCCUCGGCAUGCUCCACCAAGCCAGGCGCCUCUUCGACCGCAUGCCCCACCGCGACGUCGUAUCGUGGAACACCAUGAUCCUCGCCCUCGCUCGCGCUGGCUCUUGCGGCGACGCCGUCGGCCUCUAUUCCCAGCUCCGCCGCUUCUCACUCGGGUUCAACGCCCACACUUUCUCCGGCCUCCUGGUCGCCUGCGUUCGGCUCGGGGAGGCGCACCUCGUCCGCCAGGUCCACGCCCAGGUGCUCCUUGUCGGGUUCUUGACCAAUAUCAUCAUCUCCAGCUCUCUGGUCAACUCUUACACGAAAUGUGGGUUUGUGGAUGAUGCCAGGAAGCUGUUUGAUGAGAUGCCUACCAGAGAUGUGCUAGCUUGGACUACCCUGGUUCACGGUCUUGCCAGCAGCGGCGACCUAGUUUCUGCUCGUAGGGUGUUUGAUGAGAUGCCGGAGAAGAAUUCCAUCUCCUGGACUGCCUUGAUUGGAAGUUACACACGCCAUGGCCACCCUUUCGAAGCUCUGGAUCUGUUUAGAAACAUGAUGAAAUUGGGAGUUUCGCCAGAUCAGUUCACUUUCAGCAGUGCCCUUUGUGCCUGCGGUGCUAUUGCUUCAGUGAAGCAUGGAAAGCAGAUCCAUGCUCGCUUGCUGAGAACCCGUUUCAACCCAAAUGCCAUAGUCAUCAGUUCUCUCGUUGAUAUGUAUUCCAAGUGUGGGGAUCUGGCAGGAGGUCAAAGGGUUUUUGAUCUUACGGAUGCUGGCAGGAUGGACACUGUGUUGUGGAAUACAAUGAUGUCGGCUGCUGGGCAGCAUGGUGAUGGAAUAGAGGCCGUUAAAAUGUUUGAGGAGAUGAUUAAAACAGGGACAAAGCCUGAUGCUAAUACUUUCAUAGUUCUUUUGACUGCAUGCAGUCAUUCAGGCCUUGUAGAGCAGGGGUUACGGUUAUUCUGUUCCAUGAGGAAACAACAUGGUGUUGUUCCGGAUGAAGAUCACUAUGUGUGUUUGGUAGACAUGCUGGGCCGAGCAGGGCGUCUUGAAGAGGCAACAGAAUGCCUCAGGGAGAUGCCUUGUGGACCCAGUGCUCGAGCAUGGAACGCAUUGCUAGGGGUUUGUAGGAUUCAUGGGAACUUACGGCUUGGAAGGAUGGUGGCACAAAGGGCUAUUAAGUCGGAUCCAGAAUGUCCGACAGCGUAUGUCCUGCUUUCAAAUUUCUAUGCAGAUCUUGGACAGUGGGAAUCUGUGGAGAAGGUCAGACACCUCAUGCAGGAGAAUAAAGCAAUGAAAGAACGAGCUUCCAGCUGGAUUCCAUUUGAUAAUGAGAUCCAGUCUUUGGGAGCCUUGGAUCAAUUGCAGCCCGCGGAGGAGGUUGUAUGUGUCAGGAACAUUAGUUUGUCAGAUGAAGCAUAGUUCUCUGGUUCCCUGAGUUCUUAGCUCUAAAGAAGCACUUUUUUCUGUGUUAUGUGCGUGAAGUAGAACCACAGUUCCUUUUGGAUUCCAUGACCUUCAGCAAUGUCCAGCAAACUCAGAAUUUUACAACUAAGUCAUGCAAAGCCAUACCAUUUUGUGCAGUUUGAAUGUUAGCAUGUAGUAAGGAUACAUGCUGAAGCCUUUGCCUAUGCUUGCCUCAGAAAAAAAUACGCCAAAGCCAGUGCAAGGCAGACUGGACAUGGUUUUAUUAUAGGCAUCAAUUUGUGCAACAUUUAUGCCUGUGCCGUCAAUAUCGUAGCAAGAUGUUGGAGAAGAACAAGUCUCAGUGGUUGGAUGGUAAGCAAGCAGGUUCCUUCAAAACUCUGCCACCGCCCAGUAUUCUUUCUGCGGCAACUUACUUGCCGAAGGUUGACUACUGAUUCAUACUGUUAGGUGAAGAGAAAAUAAUCUUAAAAGUUUGGUUCUUAUGAAUCUAUUUAUCGAUAAAAAUGGUCGUUCAGUGCGAGAGAUUUCGGCCAAUGUGGGGAUUUCUGGAACUCAGGCUUUAAUUAUCCAGCAGCAAAGACAGUAUCUAUUUGUUCAAUAAUAUCGAUCCUCGGGUCGAUAUUCUGUUCAAGAUUUAUUUGUAUUUGUGUUUUUUCUUUCUCUGACCGGUAAUGUGAUGUAAAAAGGUUCUGCUCCUUGUAGGUUUAGUAUUUCAGGGAUCAAACAUAUUUUCAUUGAGUUUUAGACAAUGUUACAUGCAUAUAUUUUCAUCUUC